UACGGGGGGGGUAAGCGUUGUUCGGAAUUACUGGGCGUAAAGGGCUCGUAGGCGGCCAACUAAGUCAGACGUGAAAUCCCUCAGCUUAACUGGGGAACUGCGUCUGAUACUGGAUGGCUUGGAUUCGGGAGAGGAAUGCGGAAUUCCAGGUGUAGCGGUGAAAUGCGUAGAUAUCUGGAGGAACACCGAUGGCGAAGGCAGAUCUCUGGGCCGUAACUGACGCUGAGGAGCGAAAGCGUGGGGAGCAAACAGG
rnacentral:rRNA from 1 species